rnacentral:rRNA from 1 species
AACUAAUUCCAACACUAUUAAAGAACCCUUAAACAAUAUUGAGUAAUUCUAUACMAAUAUAGAAAAUUUUAUGUUAAAACUAGUAACAAGAAGAAGAACUUCUCCUACAAUGCACACAUAAAUCAGACAGGACACCCCACUGAUAAUUAACACUCAUGAACAUAAAGUAGUAACCUAACAAGAAAACCCCACUAUACUGCGUGUUAACCUAACACUAGAGCAUUUCAAGAAAGAUUAAAAGAAAAAGAAGGAACUCGGCAAAUAUUAACCUCGCCUGUUUACCAAAAACAUCGCCUCUUGACCAAGUAUAAGAGGUCCAGCCUGCCCAGUGACCAUGUUCAACGGCCGCGGUAUCCUAACCGUGCGAAGGUAGCGUAAUCACUUGUUCUUUAAAUAAGGACUAGUAUGAACGGCACCACGAGGGUUAUACUGUCUCCUCUUUCUAAUCAGUGAAACUAAUCUCCCCGUGAAGAAGCGGGGGUAGACACAUAAGACGAGAAGACCCUAUGGAGCUUCAAACUAUAAAGCACUUGCCCCCCAUAUAAUCAAAUUUCAGAAAAUCAUUACUACCCAAGCAAGAUGACCUUUAGUUUUAGGUUGGGGUGACCGCGGAGUAAAAAACAACCUCCACAUUGAAAGGAACCCACUCCUUAGCCAAGAGCCACACCUCUAUGCAUCAACAAAAAGACAUUAAUUGACCCAAUAUUUUGAUCAACGAACCAAGUUACCCUAGGGAUAACAGCGCAAUCCACUUCAAGAGCUCCUAUCGACAAGUGGGUUUACGACCUCGAUGUUGGAUCAGGGUACCCCG